UAUCUCUGUAGAGUCUGCAUAUCAAUAAGCGGAGGAAAAGAAACUAACAAGGAUUCCCUUAGUAACGGCGAGUGAAGCGGGAAGAGCUCAAAUUUGAAAUCUUCAAGGUUUUACCUUGACGAAUUGUAGUUUAAAGAAGUGUUUUCUGCUGAAGUUUUGGUAAAAGUUCUUUGGAAUAGGACAUCAUAGAGGGUGAGAAUCCCGUAUUUGACCAGUUAUUUUCAGCUGUGUGAUACACUUUCAAAGAGUCGGAUUGUUUGGGAAUGCAGUCCAAAAUGGGAGGUAAAUUUCAUCUAAAGCUAAAUAUUGGCGAGAGACCGAUAGCGAACAAGUACCGUGAGGGAAAGAUGAAAAGAACUCUUGAAAAGAGAGUUAAACAGUACGUGAAAUUGUCAAAAGGGAAGCGUUUGACACCAGUGUUGUUUUCUCGAAAAUCAAUUAAAAAUGGCUCGAUUUUGUAUUGCUGAGACCUUAAAAGCUCACUGUACAUUUUUCGUGUCUUUUUUAAUGCACUUUUCGUUUAACAAGUCAACAUCAGUCUCUUUUGUUGUAAAAGGGUCAUUGGAAGGUGGCUUUCUUUUCGGAGAAAGUGUUUAUAGCCUUUGGCCUCUGCAAUCGAAGAGACUGAGGUCUGCAGCGUAGACUCUUCGGGGUUAGAUACAUUAGUGCUAAGUUAUAGCUUUUUAUAGACAACUUGUUGACUAUAAUUAGUCUUGUAGCUUACUCGCUUAUGCUAUUUUACCUACGCUUAGGAUGUUGAUGUGAUACUGCGAGCA
rnacentral:rRNA from 1 species